rnacentral:rRNA from 1 species
AACGAACGCUGGCGGCAUGCCUAACACAUGCAAGUCGAACGAGACCUUCGGGUUUGGUGGCGCACGGGUGCGUAACGCGUGGGAACCUGCCCUUAGGUUCGGAAUAACUCCCCGAAAGGGGUGCUAAUACCGGAUAAUGUCUCCGGACCAAAGAUUUAUCGCCUUUGGAUGGGCCCGCGUUGGAUUAGCUAGUUGGUAGGGUAAAAGCCUACCAAGGCGACGAUCCAUAGCUGGUCUGAGAGGAUGAUCAGCCACACUGGGACUGAGACACGGCCCAGACUCCUACGGGAGGCAGCAGUGGGGAAUAUUGGACAAUGGGCGAAAGCCUGAUCCAGCAAUGCCGCGUGAGUGAUGAAGGCCUUAGGGUUGUAAAGCUCUUUUACCCGGGAUGAUAAUGACAGUACCGGGAGAAUAAGCUCCGGCUAACUCCGUG